rnacentral:rRNA from 1 species
AUAUCAAUAAGCGGAGGAAAAGAAACCAACAGGGAUUGCCCUAGUAACGGCGAGUGAAGCGGCAAAAGCUCAGAUUUGAAAUCUGGCGUCAUUUUGGCGUCCGAGUUGUAGUCUGUAGAGGUGUAUUCGAGUGUGGCUCUGGCUUAAGUUCCUUGGAACAGGACGUCAUAGAGGGUGAGAACCCCGUUAGCGGCCUUUGUCUUAUGCUCAUGUGAAUCUCCUUCAACGAGUCGAGUUGUUUGGGAAUGCAGCUCUAAAUGGGUGGUAAAUUCCAUCUAAAGCUAAAUACUGGCAAGAGACCGAUAGCGCACAAGUAGAGUGAUCGAAAGAUGAAAAGAACUCUGAACAGAGAGUUAAAUAGUAC